rnacentral:rRNA from 1 species
UGACCUCGAAGCAGGUAGGAAUACCCGCUGAACUUAA